AGUGAACGCUGGCGGUAGGCCUAACACAUGCCAGUCGAACGGCAGCACAGUAAGAGCUUGCUCUUACGGGUGGCGAGUGGCGGACGGGUGAGGAAUACAUCGGAAUCUACUUUUUCGUGGGGGAUAACGUAGGGAAACUUACGCUAAUACCGCAUACGACCUACGGGUGAAAGCAGGGGAUCUUCGGACCUUGCGCGAUUGAAUGAGCCGAUGUCGGAUUAGCUAGUUGGCGGGGUAAAGGCCCACCAAGGCGACGAUCCGUAGCUGGUCUGAGAGGAUGAUCAGCCACACUGGAGCUGAGACACGGUCCAGACUCCUACGGGAGGCAGCAGCGGGGAAUAUUGGACAAUGGGCGCAAGCCUGAUCCAGCCAUACCGCGUGGGUGAAGAAGGCCUUCGGGUUGUAAAGCCCUUUUGUUGGGAAAGAAAAGCAGCAGGUUAAUACCCCGCUGUUCUGACGGUACCCAAAGAAUAAGCACCGGCUAACUUCGUG
rnacentral:rRNA from 1 species